rnacentral:rRNA from 1 species
GACGUAGGGCGCGAGCGUUGUCCGGAUUUAUUGGGCGUAAAGAGCUCGUAGGCGGCUUGUUGCGUCGAUUGUGAAAACCCGCGGCUUAACUGCGGGCUUGCAGUUGAUACGGGCAGACUGGAGUACUGCAGGGGAGACUGGAAUUCCUGGUGUAGCGGUGGAAUGCGCAGAUAUCAGGAGGAACACCGGUGGCGAAGGCGGGUCUCUGGGCAGUAACUGACGCUGAGGAGCGAAAGCGUGGGGAGCGAACAGG